rnacentral:rRNA from 1 species
GGAUCAGCAACGCCGCGGUGAAUGCGUUCCCGGGCCUUGUACACACCGCCCGUCAAGUCAUGAAAGUGGGCAGCACCCGAAGACGGUGGCCUAACCCUUGUGGGGGGAGCCGUCUAAGGUGAGGCUCGUGAUUGGGACUAAGUCGUAACAAGGUAUC